rnacentral:misc_RNA from 1 species
AGCCGCUUGUAGAUACCAUUUAGCCUGCAUCAAGGAAAAACUAAUAAGGACAGAUCCUCCAGUGGUAAACAAAUCAAAUGAUAACCAAAGCAAGUAUUUCCUAACAAAAAGAAGUAGAAGAAAAUGAAUUGCCGAUAUAAAUUUUCCAGAAAAAUGUCAUUAAGAGCCUGCAACACUUUACAUCAAUGAUGUUAUAGCAUGCCCCUAACAUAAAAGCAAAUUCACAAUCAUAAAUUACAAGUAGAAGAAGAGCAUUCAUACGGAUUCUUGUAGAUUA